AAGUCGUAACAAGGUUUCCGUAGGUGAACCUGCGGAAGGAUCAUUAGUGAAUAAAUAGGGUGUCCAAUUUAACUUGGAACCCGACCUUCUCACAUCUAACCCUGUGCAUCUGUAUUUAAUGGCGAGCAAUUUUCGGGAUUGUGAGCCAUUUCACUUUAUAAACACUAGUCUAUGAAUGUAAAAUUUUUAUAACAAAUAAAAA
rnacentral:misc_RNA from 1 species